rnacentral:rRNA from 1 species
AUUGAACGCUGGCGGCAGGCCUAACACAUGCAAGUCGAGCGGAGCGGCUGACGGGUGAGUAAUGCCUAGGAAUCUGCCUGGUAGUGGGGGAUAACGUCCGGAAACGGGCGCUAAUACCGCAUCCUAUCAGCUGAGCCUAGGUGGGAUUCGCUAGAUGGUGGGGUAAAGGCCUAACAAGGCGACGAUCCGUAACAGGUCUGAGAGGCUGAUCAGUCACACUGGAAAUGAGACACGGUACAGACGCCUCAGGGAGUCAGCAGUGGGGAAUAUUGGGCAAUGGGCGAAAGCCUGAUCAAGCCAUGCCGCGUGUGUGAAGAAGGUCUUCUGGGUGUAAAGCUCUUUAAGUUGGGAGGCGUUACCAACAGAAUAAGCACCGGCUAACUUCGUGCCAGCAGCCGCGGUAAUAC